rnacentral:rRNA from 1 species
GGGACGAACGCUGGCGGCGUGCUUAACACAUGCAAGUCGAGCGGUAAGGCCUCUUCGGGGGUACACGAGCGGCGAACGGGUGAGUAACACGUGGGUGACCUGCCCUCAGCUCUGGGAUAAGCCUGGGAAACUGGGUCUAAUACCGGAUAUGACUUCUCCUCGCAUGGGGGGUUGUGGAAAGUUUUUUCGGCUGGGGAUGGGCCCGCGGCCUAUCAGCUUGUUGGUUGGGUGAUGGCCUACCAAGGCGACGACGGGUA